rnacentral:lncRNA from 1 species
GUGUUGAAAAGCUAAGUUUGGGGUAAAAACCCCAAAAGCUACCAAAAGCCCAAGAAAGUGCGAGAACAAAAAAGAAAAAAAAUUGAUGAAUCGAGAGAGAAAGAAAGAAAAAAAAAGAGAAAAAUUUAUAAUUCAAAGAUUCAGAAAGAAGCACGAAAAAGGGCAUUCGGUGAAGAAAAGAAAAUAAGAAAAGAAAAUCGAGCAAAUAAGAGAAACAAACACAGUAUGUAACAUCGACUUUGAACCAAAA